rnacentral:rRNA from 1 species
UACGGAGGGUGCGAGCGUUGUCCGGAAUCAUUGGGCGUAAAGGGCGCGUAGGUGGCCCCUCAAGCGUGCGGUGAAAGCCAGGGGCUCAACCCCUGAUCGGCCGUGCGAACUGGGGAGCUUGAGCACUGUAGAGGCAGGCGGAAUUCCGGGUGUAGCGGUGGAAUGCGUAGAGAUCCGGAAGAACACCGGUGGCGAAGGCGGCCUGCUGGGCAGUUUUGCUGACACUGAGGCGCGACAGCGUGGGGAGCAAACAGG